rnacentral:rRNA from 1 species
GACGAACGCUGGCGGCGUGCUUAAUACAUGCAAGUCGAACGGAAAGGCGAUGCUUUUGCGGGGUGCUCGUGUGGCGAACGGGUGAGUAACACGCGAGUAUCAUGCACUUGUCUUUGGGAUAACUCCAGGAAACUGGGGCUAAUAUCGGAUAGGAGCUCCUGCAGCAUGGUGGGGGAUGGAAAGAUUCGGCGGUUGGGGAUGGACUCGCGGCUUAUCAGCUUGUUGGUGGGGUAGUGGCUUACCAAGGCUUUGACGGGUAGCCGGCCUGAGAGGGUGACCGGCCACAAUGGUACUAAGGUACGGCCCAGACUCCUACGUUAGGCAGCAGUGGGAAGUAUUGCACAAUGGGCGGAAGCCUGAUGCAGCAACGCCGCGUGCGGGAUGACGGCCUUCGGGUUGUAAACCGCUUUCGCCUGUGACGAAGCGUGAGUGACGGUAAUGAGUAAGAAAGCACCGGCUAACUACGUG